rnacentral:rRNA from 1 species
GACGAACGCUGGCGGCGUGCUUAACACAUGCAAGUCGAACGGAAAGGCCCUGCUUUUGUGGGGUGCUCGAGUGGCGAACGGGUGAGUAACACGUGAGUAACCUGCCCUUGACUUUGGGAUAACUUCAGGAAACUGGGGCUAAUACCGGAUAGGAGCUCCUGCUGCAUGGUGGGGGUUGGAAAGUUUCGGCGGUUGGGGAUGGACUCGCGGCUUAUCAGCUUGUUGGUGGGGUAGUGGCUUCCCAAGGGUUUGACGGGUAGCCGGCCUGAGAGGGUGACCGGCCACAUUGGGACUGAGAUACGGCCCAGACUCCUACGGGAGGCAGCAGUGGGGAAUAUUGCACAAUGGGCGGAAGCCUGAUGCAGCAACGCCGCGUGCGGGAUGACGGCCUUCGGGUUGUAAACCGCUUUCGCCUGUGACGAAGCGUGAGUGACGGUAAUGGGUAAAGAAGCACCGGCUAACUACGUG